GGAAUCAUUUUGAGUUCAUUCCCUUUGGUGCUGGAAGAAGAAUCUGUCCUGGCAUUUCCUUUGGCUUGCUAAAUGUUGAACUCACUCUUGCUGUUUUGUUGUUUCACUUUGAUUGGAACCUUCCUGAAGGAAUCAAAAGUGAAGACUUUGACAUGACUGAGAAAUUUGGAAUCACUGUUGGAUUAAAGAAUGAAAUUUUCUUGAUACCUCUCACUGCUGGUAAGAUAUAUUUCUUUGCUAAAUCAUAUUAUCUCAACCAUCAUAAUCUCACUCUUAACUAAAUAAAGUUAACGUAUAUUAUCUAAUCAAGUUAAACAUUAUAAGAAAAAAUUAUAUAUAAAAUAAAACAUUAUCUAAUGUCACUGUUGAUGUUUUAAAAGGGAAGUGAUGCAAAGAAAGAUGAGCGAGGAAGAAGAUUUCCACACAUCUUUGUUGAAAAGUGAAUAUGCCUCAGUGUUUCAGUUCGUGAAUAAUGAAUAAUUGAUCAGCAGAUCAAGUCUUUCAAAACUGUUACUGUAAUAUUUUUAUGUUAUGUUUCUUUUCUCAAGUAUUGAAUUGUAAGUUUCCUUUCUUUUUUUUUUUUCAGCAUGCUUAAUGUAAAGAACAUUAAUAAAUGUGUUAUUGCAGUUAUAAUUUCAACUUUAUGUUUCUCUGUCUUUUAUGAAUGGCUUAUUUAGUCACUUCCAUAACGGGUAGCUAUAAAAUUGAAAAAUUUGUUUAAUUUUUUUAUUAUUGUUAUUACUACUAUUAUUAUAAUUAUCAUUUUUUAAAUUUUGUUAUACUAUUUUAGACCUUUUUAUUUAAUUAUUUUUUUUAUAAAAAAUAGUUGAUAUAUAUAUAUAUAUAUAUAUAAUAUUUAUUCGUGAAAUUUAUAAUAAAACUGUUUUAACACUUUUUCAGGAAUUAUUUUUAACGUUAUCAACGAUUUUUAAUCCCUGAAAAAUAUGUUUUCUACUAUUGUAAAAACCUUUGAAAAAAGUAGCACUGUUAAAUAGUUACAUAAUUAAAUAAUUGCCAACCAUUUUUUGUUAAAUCGCCUCUAUUUUUAGUAUAGAUGUUAAAAUGAGUCAUAAUUUGUGGAUCAAUUCGGUUCAUCACGGGUUCGGGCUGAAUUAGAUUUUAAAAAAUUAUAUUUUUUUUUAUGCGAGUCAGAUUUCAACUCAGCUCAUUUAAACUCGGUUCUUCCGAGUUGAACCCGUGGUGGACCGGGUUGGCCCACCAACCCACCUACCUAAUUUUAUUUUAUUAAAAUUUAAUUUAAAUUUUAUAAAAAAAUAUUUAUUAUUCUUUUUGCUUGAAAAAAUUAUUUAAUUUUCUUGUUUUCAAAACUAUUUAAAAUUGGUUUAGAUUUGAAUUAUAGAAAGUUCGUAAUUCUUUUUUAUUUUAAAAAGAUUGUAAUUAAGUGAGUUAGUGAGUCAACCUGUUUACCUAUCAACCUGUGAUGGGUCGAGCCGUAUUUGAAUAUUUUUGACUCGUUAAUAAAUGAGUCAGGUUGGAUUGACUCACUAAGUGAUCAACCAUGGUAGGUCGGAUCAGGUGAUCCGUUUUGACAACACUAAUUUCUAGGGAUUUUUGGAAAAUCCUUGAAACUCAACCGGGUUUGACAAAACCGCCCCUAACCGUCGAAAAUGUAUACAGAUUAAUUUUUUUUAUAGUGUUGAAAUUGGAUUAUGAUAAAAUUGGUUUUAAUAUCAAUAUAUACAAUCAAGACAUAAAACAAUGUUAGCACUUAAUGAAUGAGAUGACAAUUGCAUAUCCAACGAAUAUACUAUAAAGGAAAAUUGUCCCACAUGUACACAUGUAACAGCCCAUAAAAACUUCUUUUGAAAAUCAUUUCAUCAGUCCAAAACUUAUACAAUUGAGAAAGUAUGAGACAAUUGCAAGUGGCCGUGCAUUAAGAGAGAAAGGCUUUCAAAUGAAUAAACAAACAACACGGAGUGUCCCACCUUGUCUGCCACAAAUAUGUUUUCUUAGAAAUUAAUUGUUUCAGCCUCACAAUGAAACAGCCAACACCUUAAUAUUCAAAAUUUGCAUAGUCAUUCACAGAAAGCAAUCGUGCAUUCAUAAAAUGUAUUGACCACCAAACUUUCCCUUCUCUCACAAACUCAAACCAACAAUGCUCAUACGAAAAUACACCAUCAAUUCAACAUCAUCUAGCUCACAUUUACAUGUCAAGAUGUUAAUUUCAACAAAGUUCUCUCAUACCUGGUUCGAAUCCUUCUCAGAUUAAACCCUCGACCCAAAAUCCUUCAAUCGCCUAUAGUUCUUCGCUCAACCUCUGCGCUCUCUCGUGCUCACGUGAGGCAAAGCAGACCUCACCUUCACCCUCCUAACCAACCACGAAAUAGACGGGAGAAAGGCGUUUCUAGGGCACAAAAAUAACGAAGGAGAGAAGAGAAGGAAGGAUGCCGAAAAAUGACAAAGGAGAAGAAACGAACCACGAUGAACGCCGGAGAAACCACGGAGAACGCCGAAGAAGAAAUGGACAACGCCGGAAAAGGAAUGGAGAAUGCCAAGAUGGAGGAGAACCAAAGGAGAAUAAUAAAUGUAGUGAGAACGUAAAUCACAGAACGCUUAGAAGAAAAGAGAAAAUGCACGGCGCGAAACCUAAAUCCUGAAUAUACACAAUGAAAUAAAAAUAAAUCAUACUACUUAUUUAAACAAGCAUGGUCUAUUGGUUUUUCUAAAGACAUCGUUUUUUAAUAAAAAGUUAAUAAAAAUUAAUAAUAGAAUAGAUCACGCUUUUAUAGAAAAAUAAAUUAUUCAUUUGGUACCAUUAUAGACAGUAUUUUUUUUUUAAAAAAAACAGUAUCUGUUGUUUUGUGUUUUUUUUUUUUUAAAAACAGUAUCUAUUGUUUUGUAUUUUGAUAAAUAGCAUUUAUUUAAAUAAAUGCUAUCUAUUCAUUUUGUAAUAGUAUUUAUAAAAAUCAUCACGUUGUUCAUUUAAUUAAGUUGAAGUUGUUAUCACUCUAAAUCAUGACAACACAUGUUUUUAAGGAGUUACGAAAACAUUUAAAACAAAAAUAUUUGGGUUAAAUAGGUUUUUAGUCCUUAUACUUUGGAGCAUUUUGGUUUUAGUCUCUCUUUUAAACUAAAGUACAAUUUAGUCCUUCAACCUUAUAAAAUUCUGGUUUUAGUCCUUUUUAUCAAAUUUUUUUAACUUUAUUUGCUAUUUCAAGCAUGUUUCAUUAUAGCGUUUGGAUUGUUUACACUGUUUGACACAUUUUUUCUUCAAUGUUAACUGAGAAACGCGUUUAAAAUAGCAAAUAAAGUUAAAAAAAUUUGAUAAAAAGGACUAAAACCAGAGUUUUCUAAAGUUCAAGGACUAAAUUGUACCUUAGUUUGAAAGAGUGACUAAAACCAAAAUCGCCCCAAAGAUUAAGACUAAAAACAUAUUUAAUCCAAAAUAUUUUAUAAAAGAAUUUGUUAUACAUUUAUAUAUAUAUAUAUAUAUAUUAAACUUACACUUAAGCUAUAAUGCUUAAGUAAGAAAUAAGGAUUUGAAGUGGAGUUACCUUAUGAAAAAGUCAUUAAGCUAUCGUCACUUAAACGUAAACAUUUGUUUUAAAACAAGUUCGUUACUUAAGCGUAUAUUCAGUAGCACUUAAACAAUUACUUAAAAAGAAUGAAUUAAUGAGUUAAAUUAUUUUCAAAAUGUGUGUAUUAAUUUAUUUUAGAAAGUUGUAUAGUCUUAAGACAUAUUUAUUUAUUGAAAUAUAGGAAAAGAUGCAUACGCGAUUUAAAUUAUAAAAUUUCAUACUCUGCAAUCAAUUUUAACAUGCACAAAUUUAAAAUAAAGUAAAAACAUAAACUAAAAAAACUAAAAAUACUAUAAUAAACGAAAAAACAAACAACCUAAUUUACAUAAUUUACCGUCUCAUUAUGACCAAAAGUGUUAGUUUCCUUGAAGAUUGAGAAUUACAUCAAAUAUUACAUCUCUAGUCAAAUAUAGUUAAUAUAAAUAUAUCUGAAAAAAAUGCUUAUUUAUUAUUAUCUAUUAUUUAAUUACUUUAAUUCUUUGAAAAGAUACAUCGUUCGAAGACGAUAGAUAUGAUUUGUUUGAUAUGAGACUAAUUCUAUUGAAACAUUCUGAUUACUUAUUUUGUUGUAGAUUGGUUUAAUUCUAACUUUGUGUUGUAUAUUUGAUAUGAAUAGACCUCUUUGCACUAGUGCAAAAAUGUUGUUCAACGUCACUCAUAAGACGUCGAUUUGCGUGUAAUUCGAUGUAUAGAGCGGACGGUGACAUUAUUGUAAAUAGUCUGCUAAACUAGACGUCUGUUUUUGGAUAAAACCGACGUCUAUUAAUUUCAAGACGUCAGCACUGUAGCACCCCGACGUCUACUGGGCUGCAUUUAAUGCUUUUCACCUAAUUCUCAUGGGCUUAGACGUCACGUAGUCCAAAUCCGACGUCUAAGGCAUGUCUGGAAGGCGGGAAGACAAAAAAAUCUUCAAUGUUGACAUCGGCGUUUCAGUCUACGCGACGUCUAUAAUACCUGUAAUAAUUAUGUUUACAAAACUCGAGGGCCUGAGACGUCGGCUAUUUGGGCCCCCGACGUGUAUGUUAUUAUAGACGUCGGUGGCCCAUACCAACAGUCGUGAACAUCCCUGACAGGAUAUCAAACGUCAAUCGGUUCAGCUUCCUAGAUGUCGGUUCCCCCUGACAGAAACCGACGUCUAAUGGGUAUUCAAAAAGUCAGUUUUAAAUGUUCACUUGGACGUCACAUUAGUAGGAUAACCGACGUCUAUAGAUGUCGGUUUCUGAAGAAUAACCGACGCCCAAUUCCAUUUUAAAUAUACCACAACUCUUCGCGGCAUUUCAGUUUCUGAUAUCGAUCGUCUUCCUCUUCUCCUUUUUCUCUUGCCACACCUCUUCUUUUUCUCUCUUGCAUCCCAAGUGCGUGGUUUUUUUUUUAUGUUUACAGUUUAAACUUUAUUUAGUCUUUCAUCUAUUAUCUUGUGGUUCAACUGAUGAAAAUUUGCUUUCUUUGUGUUGUGUUUUAGUGCAAUUUUGAUCCUCUCUUUGGGUAACAUAGUACAACAUUCUCCCUUUGCUAGUUUCCUCACAAGAAGAGUGACAAUCUUUUGAGUUUUUUAUGAUUUCUCGACCUAAAAUGCAACUUGGGUCCUUGUCUAGUUCUCGUGUCACCGUAAUUUUUUNUAUAUAUAUGUAUAUAUAUAUGUAUAUAUAUGUAUAUGUAUAUAUAUAUAUGUAUAUAUAUGUAUAUGUAUAUGUAUAUAUAUGUAUAUAUAUAUAUAUAUAUAUAUAUAUAUAUAUAUAUAUAUAUAUAUAUAUAUAUAUAUAUAUAUAUAUAUAUAUAUGUAUAUGUAUACAUAUACAUAUAUAUAUAUAUAUAUAUAGAGGGUGAAAUAUGUUUUUGGUCCCUUAAUUUUCACUGAAAAUUGGAAUUAGUUUCUCUUCAAAACUUUGGUCUAAUUUAGUUUUCCAACUUUAAAAACUUAUGAAUUUAGUCCUUUUAACUAAAUUUUGUUAGGUUUAUUUGAUGUUUCAAGCACGUUUCAUAAUAGCAUUUGGGUUGUUUACAUUGUUUGACACAUAUUUGCUUCAAUGUCAACUGAGAAAUGCGUUUGAAACAUAAAAUAAAGUUAACAAAAUUUGGUUAAAAGGACUAAAUUCAUACUUUUCUAAAGUUGGGGGACUAAAUUAGACCAAAAUUUUGAAGAGAGACUAAUUCAAAUUUUCACUAAAAGUUAAGGGACCAAAAACGUAUUUAACCCAUAUAUAUAUAUAUAUAUAUAUAUAUAUAUAUAUAUAUAUAUAUAUAUAUAUAUAUAUAUAUAUAUAGUGUACACCUGUUGUUCAGUUGGUGUGUUUUAACAAUGUGUACCGGAUUAUAGUAGACAAAAAUACCCUCAUAUAUCAUGGAUUCUAAGUUUUAAGGUCAAGGAUAUUUAAAUAAUUUUUCAUUCUCAAAACUAAAAUAAAAAACCCAAACCCUUACUCACCUCCCUCAUUCCUCUCAAUCCUUUCUCUUUCAUCUCUCUCACACUCUAACAUUUUCUUUGUCAUCUCUACUAUUGCCCCAAUUGAAAAAAAAAUCAGAAACCCUAUAGUUUUUUAUCUUCCACAGUGGUUAAAGUUUAUUCUAAAGGCCUGCAGAAGUUUAUUAAGUGAUAAAAACGAGACAUAAGGAAAUUAAAGAAAUGGGUAUAAAAGAGCUCCCUAGGAGUACAAUUAUUUCAAUUCUAGGUUGUAAUCUUACAUCAUGUAUACCAUACCAAAAGAGAAAGGAAAAAGAAACACUUUGUGUAAAGGGAAAAGGACAAUAGAGGGAAAUAUCUUGUUCUUUAAAAAUAUAAUGAAAUGUGAUGUAGAUGUGUAAAUGAUAUAUGAAAAUUUAAUUGAUUUAUGAAGGUUUUAUUUACAUGAUUUAAUUUAAAAAUGAAAUUUAAUAAUAAUAAAAAGGGAAAAUAUAUAACACAUCCUCCAAAUGAACGAACAGAACAAGAACAACAAAUUACGGUGGCGAGGGUUGUUGUGUGGUUGAGGGAGAGUAUGGAGAUGAGAGAAAAACAAAUUGGAUAAGUGAGGAAGGUGAAUUAGGGUUAGGCAAGGGUUUCUGUUUGUUUUUCAAUUCUGGCAACAGUAGGGAUGACAGAGAAAAUGUUGGAGUGAGAGAGAUGAAAGAGAAAGGGUUGAGAGAAAUAAGGGAGGUGAGUAAGGGUUUGGGGGUUUCUUUUUUUUUUUUAGUUUCGAGAAUGAAAAUUAUUUAAAUAUCUUUGACCUUAAAACUUAGAAUCCAUGAUAUAUGAGGGUAAUUUUGUUUACUAUAAUCCGGUACACAUUGUUAAAAUGUACCAACUGAAAAACAGGUGUACGCGCAUUACAAACCCUAUAAAAAAUAAAUUGAAUCAUACAUUAUACAUGCAUCUAUAUAGAAAGAGAAAUCGUGUCAACUUAUCCUUCUCAACUUUGCCUUAAUUAUACUAUGAAAAAAGUCUCUUUAACAACACUUUUUUGAUAAUUUUUUGAGAACACAUACAUAGGAGUGUAUGAUUGGUCCGUUUCAAAUAUUUUUUUAAACAUAAAUUCAAACAGACCAAUAAAAUGAUGACACGUGUCAUGUUGUAAAAAAAUUAUUAAAAAGAGUUGUAAAAAUAUCAUCAUCCACUUAUACUAUUGGUACCUAUUUUUUCUUCACAAUCUGACACCACUUUAUACUUAAAAUUGCCUUGACUUUAACUAGUGUGAUGUGAGACCUUGAAAAGUAUGCUUUACCAUUUGUGUUCAAAAUGAAUAUAUAUAUAUAUAUAUAUAUAUAUAUNUAUAUAUAUAUAUAUAUAUUAAACUUACACUUAAGCUAUAAUGCUUAAGUAAGAAAUAAGGAUUUGAAGUGGAGUUACCUUAUGAAAAAGUCAUUAAGCUAUCGUCACUUAAACGUAAACAUUUGUUUUAAAACAAGUUCGUUACUUAAGCGUAUAUUCAGUAGCACUUAAACAAUUACUUAAAAAGAAUGAAUUAAUGAGUUAAAUUAUUUUCAAAAUGUGUGUAUUAAUUUAUUUUAGAAAGUUGUAUAGUCUUAAGACAUAUUUAUUUAUUGAAAUAUAGGAAAAGAUGCAUACGCGAUUUAAAUUAUAAAAUUUCAUACUCUGCAAUCAAUUUUAACAUGCACAAAUUUAAAAUAAAGUAAAAACAUAAACUAAAAAAACUAAAAAUACUAUAAUAAACGAAAAAACAAACAACCUAAUUUACAUAAUUUACCGUCUCAUUAUGACCAAAAGUGUUAGUUUCCUUGAAGAUUGAGAAUUACAUCAAAUAUUACAUCUCUAGUCAAAUAUAGUUAAUAUAAAUAUAUCUGAAAAAAAUGCUUAUUUAUUAUUAUCUAUUAUUUAAUUACUUUAAUUCUUUGAAAAGAUACAUCGUUCGAAGACGAUAGAUAUGAUUUGUUUGAUAUGAGACUAAUUCUAUUGAAACAUUCUGAUUACUUAUUUUGUUGUAGAUUGGUUUAAUUCUAACUUUGUGUUGUAUAUUUGAUAUGAAUAGACCUCUUUGCACUAGUGCAAAAAUGUUGUUCAACGUCACUCAUAAGACGUCGAUUUGCGUGUAAUUCGAUGUAUAGAGCGGACGGUGACAUUAUUGUAAAUAGUCUGCUAAACUAGACGUCUGUUUUUGGAUAAAACCGACGUCUAUUAAUUUCAAGACGUCAGCACUGUAGCACCCCGACGUCUACUGGGCUGCAUUUAAUGCUUUUCACCUAAUUCUCAUGGGCUUAGACGUCACGUAGUCCAAAUCCGACGUCUAAGGCAUGUCUGGAAGGCGGGAAGACAAAAAAAUCUUCAAUGUUGACAUCGGCGUUUCAGUCUACGCGACGUCUAUAAUACCUGUAAUAAUUAUGUUUACAAAACUCGAGGGCCUGAGACGUCGGCUAUUUGGGCCCCCGACGUGUAUGUUAUUAUAGACGUCGGUGGCCCAUACCAACAGUCGUGAACAUCCCUGACAGGAUAUCAAACGUCAAUCGGUUCAGCUUCCUAGAUGUCGGUUCCCCCUGACAGAAACCGACGUCUAAUGGGUAUUCAAAAAGUCAGUUUUAAAUGUUCACUUGGACGUCACAUUAGUAGGAUAACCGACGUCUAUAGAUGUCGGUUUCUGAAGAAUAACCGACGCCCAAUUCCAUUUUAAAUAUACCACAACUCUUCGCGGCAUUUCAGUUUCUGAUAUCGAUCGUCUUCCUCUUCUCCUUUUUCUCUUGCCACACCUCUUCUUUUUCUCUCUUGCAUCCCAAGUGCGUGGUUUUUUUUUUAUGUUUACAGUUUAAACUUUAUUUAGUCUUUCAUCUAUUAUCUUGUGGUUCAACUGAUGAAAAUUUGCUUUCUUUGUGUUGUGUUUUAGUGCAAUUUUGAUCCUCUCUUUGGGUAACAUAGUACAACAUUCUCCCUUUGCUAGUUUCCUCACAAGAAGAGUGACAAUCUUUUGAGUUUUUUAUGAUUUCUCGACCUAAAAUGCAACUUGGGUCCUUGUCUAGUUCUCGUGUCACCGUAAUUUUUUUCUUUUGCGGUUGAAUAAUGGGAAGUAGUCAUGGACCCAGGUUCGGUUUUGGGUUGAAAUGUCAUAGAAGAUUCAAAAGACGCAAGCUUUUUUUUGUGGGGAAACUAGCGAGAGGAGAGUGUUGCACUAUGCUACCGAAAGUCUGGAUCAAAACUGUACUAAAACACAACGUUAGACAUCGGUUAGUGUCAGGUCCGACGUCUAUAAGGAACAUAGACGUCGGUUAGUGUCAUUUUAAACCUCUAUAUAUUCAUCUAGACGUCGGUUUUAUGCAUAGGUGGACGUCUAUAUAGAGAAAUUAGACGUCAGUGUGGGUAUAAGUAGACGUCUAGAUAGACAUCGGUGGAUAUCGUUAACCGACGUUUAUAUUGACGUCGGUUAAGAGGAUUUCCGACGUCCCAUGGACGUCACCCUUAUAGACGUCUGUUGUGUAAGUGACGUUAAAAGCCCAAAUUAACCUACGUUAAACAACGUUUCUACACUAAUGUUGGUGACAAUUGUAAAAACAUCUAGUAUAUAUUAUAUUGAUAUACAUAUGUUUAUUUCCAAUAAAUUUAUUUCAAACUGAAUUAUAUAUUUUGUAAAACUUUCAUAUUUUUUAUAAACUCUUGUCUUUCGUCUAACUUUUAUGAUUUUUCUUUAAACGUGGGAAGAUUUCAUGCAUAAAUUACAUAAAAUGAUAGAUUUCUAAAAAAUCAUAAAAUAAGUUAUGUACUUUCUAUACCACUUCAAAUAAAAAUUUCUUUUGAUUUUCACAUAACUUUUAUUAUGAUACUAUUGAAAAAUGAAAGUUAAUAAUUUUUUUUUACGACUUCAAAGUUGGUGAUCCUUAUGACGAUUUUAGCAUUGAAAUCGUUGAAAUGGACUACUUCUCUUACGACUUCAAUAGUUGUUAAAGUUGUUCACCCUAGACCGAAUUGAAAGUUUGGCCAGGAUGAAGUUAAGUUCAACUGAACUCUGUAGAGCUUAGAGUGACAAUGUUGAACCUACUAAUAACAUUGUGAAGCUCAGCUAGACAUAGUUGAACUUGGAAGGUGUCAUUCUUGACAUCGUAUGGUAAAAGACCUUUUGGAAAGAAGAUUUUUUAAGAGUAAAAAUAAUAGCUCACAUCCUAUUAACACUACUUGAAAGUUUAGUGUUAAUAUAAAGUGUCAUAUAUGAGCGGUCAUUUUUACUCUCAAAAAUAUUUUUUUUGAAAGCCCUUUUGUAUGUUAGGAAUGAAACUUUUUGAGCUCAAUUACGUUAAACCGAACUCCACAACGUUAUUGUAGAGUUCAACAUUAUCAGUUUAAGCUUUGUGGAGUCUCAUCGAGCUUAACUUUAUCUGGAUGACCUAUAUAAAACUUGUCUGAGCUUAUCAUUUCAGUCCGAACUAGGGUGGUCGACUUCACUGUUGCAGUAGUGAGGGGGUGGCCGACUUUUAUAUUGAAGUCGUCAAAAAAUAACUUUUCAACUAUGUCAAAGCGAAAAUCAUAUGAAAGAUAAUCAACUUUCUCAUUUGAAAUUAUAUAAAGGUUUCACGACUUAUCAAUUUUCAUAAUUUUCCAUAUUUAUGUAUUUUUUUUAGAGGACAAUGAUAUUUUGACAAUACUUUUUUAUAAUUUUUUUUACAACGGGACACAUGUCAUCGUUUUAUUGGUCUAUUUAAAUUUAUGUUUAAAAAAUAUUUAAAACAGACCAAUCACAAACUGUCACAUAUGUGUUGUCAAAAGAUUAUUAAAAAAAUGUUGUUAAAAUUUAUUUUUCCUUUCUUAGAUUAUGCUCAAAGCUCUAUAUUUGAUUAGAAACAAAAAUUGGAUAAGAAGCUAAUUCAACUUACUAAAGCAGGUCAUAAAUAAGAUAAGAAUACGACUCAUAUAUAAUAUAUUUUAUAUGAUCGGUGGAUGUAAAAUUUUCAAAGAUCAUUUAGAUAUUUUAAUUAGGAAAAUGAUAUUUUAACACUUUCUUUUAGAUCAUUUUAACACUGUACACGUGUCAAAAUGUGGUUCGACGAUUUCAAAUUAAAAAAAUAAACUUUGGUUUUUCUCUUCCAAAUAUACCUCUCUCUCUACUUUUUUAAUUUGAAAUCGUCCAAUCACAUUUUGACACGUGUACAGUGUCAAAAUGGUGUUAAAAUGUCAUUUUCCUUUUGAAUAUGACAGAUCACUUGUGACAUUUAUAAAAUGAUAAACAAGAUGGCUUUAAAUUAUUUUAAAAUACCUUGUGUUCAAAACUAAUGAAAUCAAACAUGCAGUGGUUAUUAAAUUGGAAUAAUAAUGGUAGUUAUCUUCUCACCUGUUUAUCUACCUAUCAGUUUCUUCAUUUAUGAACAUGGGGAAAAGAACAACACCUGUUUAUCUUCUCCUCCAUGUUCACCACCACCAAUCAAUCUUUAUAUAUAUAUCAUGAGUUGCAGAACCUUUUACCAUUAACUUUUUCUCACCAUGGAUUCUGAAAUACUCCUUAUCUUUUCCUUUCUCCUCUGCAUCAUUGUGGCACUCAAACUAGGGAGAAACCUCAACAAAAAAAGCAAGCCAUCAUCACUAAACAUACCCCCUGCACCAUGGAAGCUUCCUGUUAUAGGAAACCUGCACCAUCUUGUUUCAUCCACACCACACCGAAAACUAAGAGACUUAGCCAAAAUAUACGGACCCAUGAUGCAUCUCCAGCUAGGAGAGAUCUUCAUUAUCGUUGUUUCCUCAGCAGAGUACGCCAAAGAGAUCAUGAAAACACAUGAUGCAACCUUUGCAUCGAGACCUCAACUUCUGGCAGCAGAUAUAGCUACUUAUGGAUACACAAACAUUGCUUUUGCACCUUACGGAAGUUACUGGAAAAAGGUACGAAAAAUCUGUUCUGUCCCCAAAACGUGUCAGUUCAUUCCAACCGAUCAGAGAAGAAGAACUCAACAAUCUGGUUCAAAUUGUUAGUUCACAUGUUGGAGGGUCCCCCAUCAACCUCACUGAAGCAGUGUCCUCAUCAAUGUAUAACAUCAUUUCAAGGGCUGCUCUGGGGCAGAAGCGCACCAAAGACCACAAUGAGUUCUUCUGGCUCCAGGAGUGAAAUCAGUUGUGAAAGAAACCCUAAGGUUACACCCACCAGGAGUUCUUCUGGCUCCAAGAGAAUAUGCAGAGACAUGUGAGAUUGAUGGGUAUGAGAUACCAGUGAAAAGUAAGAUAUUGAUAAAUGCCUGAGCAAUUGGGAGAGACCCAAAGUACUGGAAUGAAGCAGAGAGGUUUUAUCCAGAGAGAUUCAUUGGCAGUUCCAUUGAUCUUAAAGGGAAUCAUUUUGAGUUCAUUCCCUUUGGUGCUGGAAGAAGAAUCUGUCCUGGCAUUUCCUUUGGCUUGCUAAAUGUUGAACUCACUCUUGCUGUUUUGUUGUUUCACUUUGAUUGGAACCUUCCUGAAGGAAUCAAAAGUGAAGACUUUGACAUGACUGAGAAAUUUGGAAUCACUGUUGGAUUAAAGAAUGACAUAUUCUUGAUACCUCUCACUGCUGGUAAGA
rnacentral:lncRNA from 1 species